GCGAAACUCUAGUGACUUACUUUCUCGUUUGGUACAGUAGUGGAACCUGUAAUUAAUACUAGUUUACAGUUAUUCACGACAAGUUUUUCAAGACAGCCAACAAACAUGGGCAAGAAAUUAAGAAGAUUGGCAUCCAAAUUGGGGUUAAAGUAAUCACGAAAGCAGAAGAGUACCUCCCGCUGUCGCAGGUGAAAUUCACCGGGCUGUCCGCACAUGCAACAGCAACCAGCAAUGCGGUCAUGUGUGUGGACCUGGCAGCAAUAUCAAUGAAACACCCAGUGGACAAAAUCUCAAUCCAGUCUGCCCGAAGCACAGCAAAGUGGAUUGGCUUUAUCAAAGCUGCUCUUUACCACUGCAGCAUUGUUAACAGCAUUGACUCUGCACCCAAUUGGAGAAGUUUGGACAGCAAAUUUGCAAAGAGACAGCAACAAUGUCCAAACAGCAAAAGUCCUGAAGAAUCUGUCAAGCAAGACUAUGAAGAAUGAAAGAGAAAAAUCCUGGAAAAUGCAGCCAAAACUAAGGAAGUGAAUACCUGCUGAGAUGAUCCUAUCUGAUUGACCUAAGCUACAGUUUCUUUAACUUUUUUUACAAGUGCCCACUUCUGUGAUGUUUUAAACCAGUAAGCUAUUUUGUGCCACAAUAGUUAAGAGGUUGCAAAUCAGACUUUGGGGACCCUGAAGUACAGAUAACUCUACAGAACACAGAGUUUACAAAUUGAUAACAUCUGAGAUGGAAGACCGUUGUCUUCAGGUACACUUGAUGCAUCCUCUGGUUAAAUAUUUCAUGUAUUUCAGUUGAAUUGGUCGUUCUGCAACCGAUGGCUGUUCUAUACUGUCAGUGCAGAUGUUUGUUUAUUGAAAGUAUACAGUAUCUCAUUAUCACAGGGUUUCAAACCCCAUUGAAAGUGAAUGACGGAGUAUCAUUGAUGCUUUAUUAAUGCCUUCACAUUGUUCAUUUGCUGUCUACACAAAUGUUCAUGUGUAUUUCUCUCUUUAAUACUUGUUUUCUCAUUUAUACAUCUUGAUUUGCGAACCCUUAAUUAAGCGAUGACUAUUUUGUUUUUAUUGUAUGAAUCAUUUUAAUAAAUUAGAAGUCCUGUGUUUGUUAGGUUAUUUAUUUAUUUUUUUUUUUUAACUAGUGUUGCUGCUAGGCAUGCCACAUUUCACAGGAGUAGGUGCAAAGCAUUGUUCCAUAGCCACGAAGGUUAGUUGUCUCUAAUAAAGGUAGUCAUGACAAUUCUGUCUAAAAACCUCGCAUUAAAUUAAGCCUAUUUUACAUCUGAAUAAAUAUGUUGGAACAUAAUGAU